CCUUUCUGUAACAAGUGACACAGACUUACCUCCUCACUGAAACUCUCUUCUGAGACCGAUUUCCUUAGGAGGCUGUUGUGAAUCUUCUAGGAUUCCAGUUCUUUCUGUUGAGUAUUCUCCUCUGUCAUCCCAAUGUCGGUAGGCCUAUGGUUUACCCCCUCCCCGUAGUUAUCAUUUGUGAAUGGACAAUUUCCAAACCUCUAUCUUUUGCUACAACUUUGUCCUGAACUUCGGAAUGGCAUUUGUAAUGACAUAGUGUAUGUUUCUGACUGCAUAUCUUUUAGAUAUCUCCAACUUAGCAAGCACUGUAGGCUUAAAUACCACCACACCACAACAGGGAGAUAUUACUAAACUACAUUUUGCAAGGAAAGUAGUAAUAAUGAUGGUGACUGAUUUUAAAAGAAAAUAAGCAAAUGUGAAAUCUACAUGCUAAGCUAUUUCAGCGAGGCAGAAUUUUUUCAUAUACAGGAUGGAUACUGAUUAUUAUAACCAGUGUCUUCAGGGAUAGGCAAUUCUUUCAGAUUAUCUCUCUCACUGAAAAUGCCAUUCAAGAAUAUCACCUCUGUGUUUUUAUUUUAAUCUCUGUAGGCAACUUUCUUGAUCUAUAAUUAAAUUGAACAACAGGCAUAUGUCUUACUGUGACUGGGAUGUAGCCAUGGUAUAUUCAUAAACUGGUGUUCUGGUUGGUAAAUGAUUCUCUUGUCAGUUUUCUUGGUGUGAGUCAGUGCUCCAGAGUUGGUGAACUCUAGGUGAACUGUUGAGAUCAAGUUUCUGUAUCUGCAAAACUGAAGAUCAGACUUUGGACUGUGGCAACUGAAAAUAGACUGAAUCUGAGAGGUGAAGCCCAGCUAAAAAGAGAGCUCAUCAUCACCCACUAAUGGGUCAAAAUCUACAGUUUGAAGAGUCCUGCAAUGUGAAAGGAAUGUUCAAGCAGGAGUGAGAAUCCUGAGUUCCUUGUUGCUCCACUUUUGAAUGGAAACCUGUACUCUCACCAUCAAACCAAGGUGAUAGGAUUAAAUCAGAUCAUCUCCACGGCCUCUGUUUCAGUGGAUUGAGGAUUUCCCACCUUGAUACUGGUGAUUUUUCCUCAUCAGGAUUCUGUGACGGAGCACCUGUCUCAGCAGACGACCAGAAAACUCAACACGGGCCCAUUGUGCACUUACCUUCUCUGCCAAGGAAAAAAAAAGGUAAUGGUUU